ACACUACGUGGGUUUGACCAGUUCAUGAACCUUGUGAUUGACAAUACAGUGGAAAUGAAUGGCAACGAUCAGAACGAUAUUGGAAUGGUGGUCAUCAGGGGAAAUAGUGUUGUCAUGAUUGAAGCCCUGGAGCCUGUUGCUAGAACUCAGUAGUGUUGUUUCUCUCCUUUGGUUACUUAAUGCAAGUAGUCACAAACAAGUUUCUGUUACACUCUUAAAUGUCUGUUUUCCAAAUACAUACCUAUCGUGGAUAGUUUGUUAAGACAUGUAUUAGGGUAAAUUUUAUAUUUGAUGGCAG
rnacentral:misc_RNA from 1 species